rnacentral:rRNA from 1 species
UACGUAGGGUGCGAGCGUUGCCCGGAUUUAUUGGGCGUAAAGGGCGCGUAGGCGGGAUGGCAAGUCGGUCGUGAAAUCCUUCGGCUCAACCGAAGAACGUCGGCCGAUACUGCCGUUCUUGAGGGAUGCAGAGGAGAUUGGAAUUCCCGGUGUAGCGGUGAAAUGUGUAGAGAUCGGGAGGAACACCGGUGGCGAAGGCGGGUCUCUGGGCAUCUCCUGACGCUGAGGCGCGAAAGCGUGGGGAGCAAACAGG